ensembl:lncRNA
CUGCGGGUGCUAAUUUUAAAGUGCUGCUCCUCACAUGCAAGAUGACAUCGUCAGGCUCCACUUCCCCAAAUGAGACGCAUCGCCGCUUAGAUGCUGCCAGCGUUUCCCCUCCGGUGAUCCGUUUACACACAAAGAACUCUGAACUUCCUGCAGACGGAAAGUGAGUAGAGACCUCAGGACGAGGCUGCGUGUUCAGCAGAGACGCUCAUAGUUAUUACUGCAUUCGUCACCGAGGGGAUGUACACAGCUCGCUGUGUGCAGACGUAUCGGCACAAAACCACAAGGAGGCACUCGUAGUAGCCGUGAGGUACUCAGAUAUACUCGUAGUAGCCGUGAGGUACUCAGAUAUACUCGUAGUAGCCGUGAGGUACUCAGAUGUACUCGUAGUAGCCGUGAGGUACUCAGAUAUACUCGUAGUAGCCGUGAGGUACUCAGAUAUACUCGUAGUAGCCGUGAGGUACUCAGAUAUACUCGUAGUAGUUGUGAGGUACUCAGCAGGUAGUUAUGUUUCCAUUAGGCAAAUGAACAGUAACAGUGAACAAGCUGCUUUCUGCUUAGCGUGGGCACAGAGCGGGGGGGGGUUCGAGAGGGCAACUACCCAGUGGGGGUAUUAAGCAACAGGUACCCGGAGUCUGAGGGGUUUGCUGCAGUAGAAUGAGCGUUUCUUACAGUCCAAUAACUUAUUUGACUAAACACGAGGAGGGAAUCUCAGCAGCAAAGUUCACAAAGUCUUUCGUUUUUUUCUCCUCUUCAGCCAAUCAGCGAUCGUAGCGCCGCCACCAUCGCGAGCCCCGCGCUCAGCCCCGCCCACGAGGGUCCGGUGUUGGCCCCGCCUCCGUCCAGGCGCAGAGUGUUGUUGCAGGGUGGGGUUAGGUUUGCCGAGGUGGGGCGGAGCGGGACCCCGCCGGCGGUGGCGGGGACGCGGCGUAACAGGAAGUCGUGUUUCAUGGCAGAGUAGCGAUCGGGGCCGUACGGCACGCUCAGCGUCUCCGUCAAAACCUCGUGACCCGGGUACGUCAC